UAACGAGCUAACUCCAAACCCAAUGUGAACGUUACCAAACUGUUGCCUCGGCGGGAACUCAUGCCCCGGGUGCGUCGCAGCCCCGGACCAAGGCGCCCGCCGGAGGACCAACCAAAACUCUUUUUGUAUACCCCCUCGCGGGUUUUUUAUAAUCUGAGCCUUCUCGGCGCCUCUCGUAGGCGUUUCGAAAAUGAAUCAAAACUUUCAACAACGGAUCUCUUGGUUCUGGCAUCGAUGAAGAACGCAGCGAAAUGCGAUAAGUAAUGUGAAUUGCAGAAUUCAGUGAAUCAUCGAAUCUUUGAACGCACAUUGCGCCCGCCAGUAUUCUGGCGGGCAUGCCUGUCCGAGCGUCAUUUCAACCCUCGAACCCCUCCGGGGGGUCGGCGUUGGGGAUCGGCCCUCCUCUUGCGGGGGCCGUCUCCGAAAUACAGUGGCGGUCUCGCCGCAGCCUCUCCUGCGCAGUAGUUUGCACACUCGCAUCGGGAGCGCGGCGCGUCCACAGCCGUUAAACACCCAACUUCUGAAAUGUUGACCUCGGAUCAGGUAGGAAUACCCGCUGAACUUAAGCAUAUCAAAA
rnacentral:rRNA from 1 species